GACGUAGGGCGCGAGCGUUGUCCGGAUUUAUUGGGCGUAAAGAGCUCGUAGGCGGCCUGUUGCGUCCGCUGUGAAAUCCCGGGGCUCAACCCCCGGGGCCUUGCAGUGGAUACGGGCAGGCUGGAGGCAGGCAGGGGAGAACGGAAUUCCCGGUGUAGCGGUGAAAUGACGCAGAUAUCGGGAGGAACACCGGUGGCGAAGGCGGUCUCUGGGCCUGUACUGACGCUGAGGAGCGAAAGCGUGGGGAGAA
rnacentral:rRNA from 1 species